rnacentral:lncRNA from 1 species
AUGAUACUCAAAGUGUAUACAUUAUGUACAGCUAAAGUGUAUCAGUUAUACCUUAAUAAAGGGAUGCAGGGGUUUUUUUGCGUGUUUUUUUUUUUUUUAAUGAAAAUAAAACCUUGUGCUCUUCAUUUUUCUGCAGAAUUUCUACAAGUAUCUUGUUUGACCAGUGUUUGGAAUUUCAGAGCGUGGAAGGAGGUACCGGCCCUUGAGGCCUCUAACCCUGGCUCCUGCAACGGGAGUACUUGACAAGAAGGGAGAUUGGCGUCGAUGUCAGCUAUGGUAAGACCUGCUAAUCUAAGGUGCCCCCGUUGUAAUAAUGUAACCUAAGGGUGCCCAGCAACUCUGAGAGCAAAGGGUGUUUUAUUUUUUCACAACUUCUUCUUUUGAAAGAUUCCAAGCCAAUAGAAAUGUUUUUGGGGCACCUGGGUGGCUCAGUGGUUGAGCUUCUGGCCUUGGGCUGGAGUUGUCGGGGUCCUGGGAUCCAUUCCUGCAUCAGGCUCCCCGCAGGGAACCUGCUUCUCCCUUUACCUAUGUCUCAGCUUUUCUCUGUGUGUCUUAUGAAUAAAUAAAUAAAUCUUUAAAAUUGUGCAACAAAAAAAAUAAAUAAAUAAAUAAAUAAAAUAAAAUUGUGCAACAAACAUCCUUGCAACUUUCAUCUGUAUUCUUGAAUUGUCAAUAUGCUUUACCAAAUUAUUUAUACACACCCAUAUAUUUUAUUCUUGGCUAAAUUAUGUGAGAGUUACUUGCAGACAUUCUGAUACUUUACCCCUAAAUACUUAAGCCUGCAUCUCCUAAGAACAAGGACAGCCACAAUGCUAUUAUCACACCUAAGAAACUUCACAUUGAUAUAUUUAAAUAUAUAUGGUUCCAUAUUUAAACUUCCCUAAUUGGUCCAUUUAUAUUUUGUAUAGCUGUAGUUUUGUUUUGUUUGUGAUCCAGGAUCCUGUCAGUGUUCAUCUCAUUUUUUCUUUCAUGACAUUUUUGAAGAGUCUAGAGAACUUGUAGAAGAUUUCACAAUCUGAAUUUGUCCUUUUUAUUCUUCAGGGUUAGAUUCAGGUACAUCACUUUUGUUAAAAUACUACAGAGGCCUCGUUAUCUAUUUCCCAUUACAUCCUUAUCAAGAAGCCCAUCUUGUAGACUUGUACCAUAUUGGUAACACUAAGCUGGGUCACUGGGCUACAUACGAAUUUCCUAUCCUUGCUUUUAU